CCCGCCCCUCCUCCGACGCGCCGCUCUGCCCAGCCCCUCCUCCGACGCGCCCGGCCCCUCUCGCUUUCGCGGGCUCGGCCAGGAGACCUGGGCUGCGCGCGGCGCAUGGCGCUUGCCGGGAGAGUCAUGGCUACUUUCCGCUUGGCCCUCAUCCAACUUCAAGUUUCUUCCGUCAAAUCAGAUAACCUCACUCGAGCUUGUGGCCUUGUCCGGGAGGCGGCAGCACAAGGAGCCAAAAUAGUUUGUCUGCCAGAAUGCUUUAAUUCUCCAUAUGGCACGAACUAUUUUCCUCAAUAUGCGGAGAAAAUUCCUGGUGAAUCCACACAGAAGCUUUCUGAAGUAGCAAAGGAGUGCAGCAUAUAUCUCAUUGGAGGUUCCAUUCCUGAAGAGGAUGCUGGGAAAUUAUAUAACACCUGUGCUGUGUUUGGGCCUGAUGGCGCUUUAUUGGUAAAGCACAGAAAGCUCCAUCUGUUUGACAUUGAUGUUCCUGGGAAAAUUACCUUUCAAGAAUCUAAAACACUGAGUCCUGGUGAUAGUUUCUCCACAUUUGAUACUCCUUACUGCAGAGUGGGCCUGGGCAUCUGCUACGACCUCCGCUUUGCAGAGCUUGCACAGAUCUACGCACAGAGAGGCUGCCAGCUGUUGGUAUAUCCUGGAGCUUUUAAUUUGACCACUGGACCAGCCCACUGGGAGCUCCUUCAGCGAGGCAGGGCUGUUGAUAAUCAGGUGUAUGUGGCCACGGCAUCUCCUGCCCGGGAUGACAAAGCCUCCUAUGUUGCCUGGGGACACAGCACCGUUGUGACCCCUUGACGAGGAAAUGGAGACUCCAAAUGACCUGCCACGAGGCCACACAGCUACUCAAAUGGGGGGAGGUCCUCGCCACGGCUGGCACUGAAGAGAUGAUCGUGUACUCGGACAUCGACCUGAAGAAGUUGGCUGAAAUACGCCAGCAAAUCCCUAUUUUUAGCCAGAAGCGAUUAGACCUCUAUGCAGUGGAGGCGAAGAAGCCCUAAGGUUUACAUUUCCAACGCGUCAUGAAACAAGAAGAUGUGUUUCUGCAACAUAAUCAACUCCCUGCUGAAUUCUUUAAUGGAGUCGUUUUUGUUUGUUUGUUUUUUGUUUUAAUUUCAGCCUUUUCCCUUCCUGGGAGCUCUCCAUUGAGAUGACGGAGCGUCAGCACACUGACAUCUCCACACCGUGUUAAAUAGUCCAAAAGGGCUCAGGCUGGCAUUGAAGAGCAGGGGAGCCAGGGAUGGCUCUAAACCUCCUUCUGUACCUAAGUUGCCUCAGAGCAGUUGAUGGAAGUUCCGAUCUUGGUGUCCUGGUGGUCGAUUCACUGGCUACGAAUGUAUCUGUCCCGAGCCUCUCGUCUCACUACUGGAGUCCAUCACACAGAAACCUGGGCCUGGGGCUGCUCCUUCUCGAGCAGUACCUCACGCUCUGCUCCGAGUGGCUAUGGGAGCAGGGUGGUGGGUUGUUGGUGUUUGCCAGCGGAGGUGGCAGCCCCACUCUUCCUAGCAGCCUUUGGGCUCUUCAAAUUCAGGGAGCUGACAGUGCAACCCAGACGCCCCUGGUCGAGGGGAAAGACGUUUCCACAGAGAGCCCAGUGCGGCGUUUGCUCCAGGCAACGGAAGAUGAGUCUCUGCAGGUUUCCUGAUAGGAUGAGUGUCUGGAAAGCUUUCUGUUUGCUUUUCUCCCUAGUAACAUUUCUAGCUUGAUAAAAGCAGAUUUCAGCCUGGUGCUUCUCAGAUUCCUUUUGCACAAUUAAAAAUCAAGAAUUCUAAUGAGCUUUAAUUUAUGUAUGUUAUGGCUAGUGUUGGGCUGGUAAACGUUUAACAACCAGCUGUCGGAGAAAAAGCCCUGAUUUUGUAGUAGCAUUUGCCAACUUCCAUGGUGUAAAUACUUACACCAUGGCCAAAUUCAGGCCGUCAAUGUGACACCUCUAAACUGAGCGCUCAGAUGCAGUCAGCUCUCAUGAGCUGGUGCAGUCUGCUCUGACACAUCACUGUAUGUAGAGACAGUUCCCAUACUGGAAAAUAAAACAAUUUUAAAACAAAAGAAUACAUGAGCACACAUUCAGUAACUGUAAGAAUGAUGACAUCGUGUCCUCAGAAGAGUACGAGAGUGAAAAAGGCAAAGGGCUUUUUAAAAUUGUGUACAAUUUGGUCAAGUCUGACAGAGGUAUACAUCCAUGAACCCGCUGCAAUCGCGAUAAUGAACAUACCCACCUCACCCCCAAAUUUGCUGCUCUUCUAUAACCCCCUAGCUACUCUCAUCCGCAGGCAAUCAUUAGUCGGCUUUGUCACUAUGGAUUAGUUUGAAUUUUCUAGAAUUACCUUAAAAUGGAAUCAUACUGUGUAUGUACUUUUUUGUCUGUCUGCUUUCACUCAUAAUUAAUCUGGAGAUUGAUCCACGUGUGUGCAUCAGUAAUUCAUUCCUUUUCUAUUGCUGAAUGACAGUCCACUGUAUGGAUACACCAUAAUUUACCCGUUCUCAAGACAUCUGGGUUGUUUCCAGUUUUUGGCUAUUACAAAUAAAGCUGCUGGAAACAUUUUGUA